rnacentral:rRNA from 1 species
UACAGAGGUCCCAAGCGUUACUGAGAAUCACUGGGCUUAAAGGGUGCGUAGGUGGUCCGUUAAGUCAGUUGUGAAAUCCCCGGGCUCAACCCGGGAACUGCUUCUGAUACUGGCGGACUUGAGGCCAGUAGGGGUCACUAGAACUGACGGUGGAGCGGUGAAAUGCGUAGAUAUCGUCAGGAAUGCCGGUGGUGAAGGCGGGUGACUGGGCUGGUUCUGACACUGAGGCACGAAAGCGUGGGGAGCGAACGGG